rnacentral:rRNA from 1 species
AGAGUUUGAUCCUGGCUCAGAUUGAACGCUGGCGGCAUGCCUUACACAUGCAAGUCGAACGGCAGCACGGGAGUAAUCCUGGUGGCGAGUGGCGAACGGGUGAGUAAUACAUCGGAACGUGUCCUGUAGUGGGGGAUAGCCCGGCGAAAGCCGGAUUAAUACCGCAUACGAUCUACGGAAGAAAGCGGGGGAUCGCAAGACUUCGCCGCUAUAGGGGCGGCCGAUGGCAGAUUAGCUAGUUGGUGGGGUAUAAGGCCUACCCAGGGCCAACGAUUCUGUUAAGCCUGGUUCUGAAGAAGGGACGAAACCAGGCCAACAACCUGGGGGAACUGGAGAACACCGGGCCCCAGAAACUUCCUANGGGAGGGCAGCAGUGGGGAAUUUUGGACAAUGGGGGAAACCCUGAUCCAGCAAUGCCGCGUGUGUGAAGAAGGCCU